rnacentral:rRNA from 1 species
GACGAACGCUGGCGGCGUGCUUAACACAUGCAAGUCGAACGGAAAGGCCCUGCUUUUGUGGGGUGCUCGAGUGGCGAACGGGUGAGUAACACGUGAGUAACCUGCCCUUGACUUUGGGAUAACUUCAGGAAACUGGGGCUAAUACCGGAUAGGGGCUCCUGCUGCAUGGUGGGGGUUGGAAAUUUUCGGCGGUUGGGGAUGGACUCGCGGCUUAUCAGCUUGUUGGUGGGGUAGUGGCUUACCAAGGCUUCGACGGGUAGCCGGCCUGAGAGGGUGACCGGCCACAUUGGGACUGAGAUACGGCCCAGACUCCUACGGGAGGCAGCAGUGGGGAAUAUUGCACAAUGGGCGGAAGCCUGAUGCAGCAACGCCGCGUGCGGGAUGACGGCCUUCGGGUUGUAAACCGCUUUCGCCUGUGACGAAGCGUGAGUGACGGUAAUGGGUAAAGAAGCACCGGCUAACUACGU